AGUCCCAUCUACCUGUGUACGAAGGGGGUCAGUCCUUUAUACCUGUGUACGAAGGGGGUCAGUCCCCUCUACCUGUGUACGAAGGGGGUCAGUCCCCUAUACCUGUGUACGGGGGGCCAGUCCCCUAUACCUGCUAACGAGGGGUCAGUCCCUCUGCUUUGGUAGGUGGUGGUCAGUCCAUAUACCUUCAUUCGAAGGGAUCAGUCCCUCAACCUUGGAACAAGAGGAUCAGUCCCUCAACCUUGGGACAAGAGGAUCAGCCCCUCAACCUUGGAACAAGAGGAUCAGUCCCUCAGCCUUUGAACAAGAGGAUUAGUCCCUCAACCUUGGAACAAGAGGAUCAGUCCCUCAACCUUGGAACAAGAGGGUCAGUCCCUCAACCUUGGAACAAGAGGAUCAGUCCCUCAACCUUGGAACAAGAGGAUCAGUCCCUCAACCUUGGAACAAGAGGAUCAGUCCCUCAACCUUGGAACAAGAGGAUCAGUCCCUCAACCUUGGAACAAGAGGAUCAGUCCCUCAACCUUGGAAUAAUAGGAUCAGUCCCUCAACCUUGGAACAAGAGGAUCAGUCCCUCAACCUUGGAACAAGAGGAUCAGUCCCUCAACCUUGGAACAGGGGGAUCAGUCCCACAAGACCACUGACCACCUCCCACCAGCACUCAACUAAUCACUACCAUAGAUCAUGUUAACUAAAACUUGCUAACACCGGUGGCGGUGACGACAUAUAUUUUUGAGCGUUCAACACGACGGAGGGAGGACCGGCGCCGCGGGUGUCAACACGCGCGACAAACGCUGUUUUACCUUACGUAUUUGAUACAAAAAACGUAUAAAUAGGCAAUUUUUAUACCAAGGGGAACACUGUAAUGAGGAAGUGUGUAUUAUACAUGAAUGUGUAUAGCCAAGAUGAGAGUAUGGCACUGUGUAUAUUUGUUGAUGACAGGUGUUUAAGGUGGGUAAUUGAAGGUGUUUAAACUGGAUAAUUGAGCGUGUUUUAAGCUUGGCAAGACUGAACUUUAAAGCUGCAGCACAUGCCAGCAUAAAGCUGAAACUGGGAAUGUAUAGGUAAAGCUUGAGAGUGUAAAUAAAGUUUGAGUGAGAGUAAAGCCUCAGUGGUAACUACAGAGUUAAAGCCUUGAAAUAGAGCAAUAUAUAAAUAUAUUCCCACGGUGCCAGAAUUUAUUCUGCGAGUUUAGUUGUUCAUUUGUUUUUAGUGGACAAAAAUGACAUCAGUGCUGUAUGAUAACAUUUGUCAUUAAAGACGCCAGGUGCAGUGCUGCCUGACGUGUUGACUAGUGUGAUGCCACAGCUGAUGGUGUACAUCUGGCAGUGCUGUGACAUACACAAUACAUGUCUGGCAGUGCUGUGACAUACACAAGACAUGUCUGGCAGUGCUGCGACGUACACAAGACAGGUGUCUGGCAGUGCUGCAACGUACACAAGACAGGUGUCUGGCAGUGCUGCGACGUACACAAGACAGGUGUCUGGCAGUGCUGCGAUGUACACAAGACAGGUGUCUGGCAGUGCUGCGACGUACACAAGACGUGUCUGGCAGUGCUGCGACGUACACAAGACGUGUCUGGCAGUGCUGCGACGUACACAAGACGUGUCUGGCAGUGCUGCGAUGUAGACAAGACAAAUGUGUCAAGUUAUCACUGUGAGAGGUUAUCCUGGAGUUAUCACUGUGAGAGGUUAUCCUGGAGUUAUCACUGUGAGAGGUUAUCCUGGAGUUAUCACCAUGAGAGGUUAUCCUGGAGUUAUCACUGUGAGAGGUUAUCUUGAGGUUAUCCUGGAGUUAUCACCAUGAGAGGUUAUCCUGGAGUUAUCACUGUGAGAGGUUAUCCUGGAGUUAUCACUGUGAGAGGUUAUCCUGGAGUUAUCACUGUGAGAGGUUAUCCUGGAGUUAUCACUGUGAGAGGUUAUCCUGGAGUUAUCACCAUGAGAGGUUAUCCUGGAGUUAUCACUGUGAGAGGUUAUCUUGAGGUUAUCCUGGAGUUAUCACUGUGAGAGGUUAUCUUGAGGUUAUCCUGGAGUUAUCACUGUGAGAGGUUAUCCUGGAGUUAUCACCAUGAGAGGUUAUCCUGGAGUUAUCACUGUGAGAGGUUAUCUUGAGGUUAUCCUGGAGUUAUCACUGUGAGAGGUUAUCUUGAGGUUAUCCUGGAGUUAUCACUGUGAGAGGUUAUCUUGAGGUUAUCCUGGAGUUAUCACCAUGAGAGGUUAUCCUGGAGUUAUCACCAUGAGAGGUUAUCCUGGAGUGGGUGUAGUUAUUAGGUGAGGGAGUUAUCACUUUAAGUUAACUCUGAAUGGUUGAGUGAUAACUGGUAGUGGUUCAGUUAUAACUUGAAGAUAACCGAGUGAUAACUGGUAGUGGUUCAGUUAUAACUUGAAGAUAACCGAGUGAUAACUGGUAGUGGUUCAGUUAUAACUUGAAGAUAACCGAGUGAUAACUGGUAGUGGUUCAGUUAUAACAGUUGCCAAAGGUGAAUAAUUAUUAUUAUUAUUAAAAAUAAAUAACUUUCUUCA